rnacentral:rRNA from 1 species
GACGAACGCUGGCGGCGUGCUUAACACAUGCAAGUCGAACGGAAAGGCCCUGCUUUUGUGGGGUGCUCGAGUGGCGAACGGGUGAGUAACACGUGAGUAACCUGCCCUUGACUUUGGGAUAACUUCAGGAAACUGGGGCUAAUACCGGAUAGGAGCUCCUGCUGCGUGGUGGGGGUUGGAAAGUUUCGGCGGUUGGGGAUGGACUCGCGGCUUAUCAGCUUGUUGGUGGGGUAGUGGCUUACCAAGGCUUUGACGGGUAGCCGGCCUGAGAGGGUGACCGGCCACAUUGGGACUGAGAUACGGCCCAGACUCCUACGGGAGGCAGCAGUGGGGAAUAUUGCACAAUGGGCGGAAGCCUGAUGCAGCAACGCCGCGUGCGGGAUGACGGCCUUCGGGUUGUAAACCGCUUUCGCCUGUGACGAAGCGUGAGUGACGGUAAUGGAUAAAGAAGCACCGGCUAACUACGUGCCAGCAGCCGCGGUGAUACGUAGGGUGCGAGCGUUGUCCGGAUUUAUUGGGCGUAAAGGGCUCGUAGGUGGUUGAUCGCGUCGGAAGUGUAAUCUUGGGGCUUAACCCUGAGCGUGCUUUCGAUACGGGUUGACUUGAGGAAGGUAGGGGAGAAUGGAAUUCCUGGUGGAGCGGUGGAAUGCGCAGAUAUCAGGAGGAACACCAGUGGCGAAGGCGGUUCUCUGGGCCUUUCCUGACGCUGAGGAGCGAAAGCGUGGGGAGCGAACAGGCUUAGAUACCCUGGUAGUCCACGCUGUAAACGGUGGGUACUAGGUGUGGGGUCCAUUCCACGGGUUCCGUGCCGUAGCUAACGCUUUAAGUACCCCGCCUGGGGAGUACGGCCGCAAGGCUAAAACUCAAAGGAAUUGACGGGGCCCCGCACAAGCGGCGGAGCAUGCGGAUUAAUUCGAUGCAACGCGUAGAACCUUACCUGGGUUUGACAUGGAUCGGGAGUGCUCAGAGAUGGGUGUGCCUCUUUUGGGGUCGGUUCACAGGUGGUGCAUGCCUGUCGUCAGCUCGUGUCGUGAGAUGUUGGGUUAAGUCCCGCAACGAGCGCAACCCUUGUUCACUGUUGCCAGCACGUUAUGGUGGGGACUCAGUGGAGACCGCCGGGGUCAACUCGGAGGAAGGUGGGGAUGACGUCAAGUCAUCAUGCCCCUUAUGUCCAGGGCUUCACGCAUGCUACAAUGGCUGGUACAGAGAGUGGCGAGCCUGUGAGGGUGAGCGAAUCUCGGAAAGCCGGUCUCAGUUCGGAUUGGGGUCUGCAACUCGACCUCAUGAAGUCGGAGUCGCUAGUAAUCGCAGAUCAGCAACGCUGCGGUGAAUACGUUCCCGGGGCU